UGGACCCAUGAGGAGAGAAAGUGUUUACGAACAAAAGAUGGUGAUUAAUCCUGUUCUGCGCAAAGUACUGAGGUCCAUU
rnacentral:snoRNA from 9 species